rnacentral:misc_RNA from 1 species
GUCUAGUGUAUUUUGCAUCUUACUCUGACAAACAAACCAAGCGUGAAUGUGUUGCGGGUGUCUUGCGACCCCGAACGUAUGUGUUUGUAGCCUUGCGGCUCCAAAUACUGACUUUGCAAUGAUCCUUCCGCAGGUUCACCUACGGAAA